GUAUGGAAUGAUGAAUGAGAUUUUAGUUUCCCUAUUGGUUUGAUUGGCCGAUAUGAUAGCCUAAAUACUGAUCUGAAACUGAACAUCA
rfam:Triticum aestivum genome assembly, contig: Triticum_aestivum_CS42_TGACv1_scaffold_556115_7AL